rnacentral:rRNA from 1 species
CCGCGUUCCUGAAGGGGUUUGGGACUCAGUCGACGCCCUUCGGGGGAGUGGAGACGGGUGAGUAACGCGUGGGAAUCUACCCAGCUCUACGGAAUAACCCAGGGAAACUUGGACUAAUACCGUAUACGUCCUUCGGGAGAAAGAUUUAUCGGAGUUGGAUGAGCCCGCGUUGGAUUAGCUAGUUGGUGGGGUAAUGGCCUACCAAGGCGACGAUCCAUAGCUGGUCUGAGAGGAUGAUCAGCCACACUGGGACUGAGACACGGCCCAGACUCCUACGGGAGGCAGCAGUCGGGAAUAUUGGACAAUGGGCGCAAGCCUGAUCCAGCCAUGCCGCGUGUGUGAUGAAGGCCCUAGGGUUGUAAAGCACUUUCAACGGUGAAGAUAAUGACGGUAACCGUAGAAGAAGCUCCGGCUAACUUCGUGCCAACAGCCGCGGUAAUACGAAGGGAGCUAGCGUUGUUCGGAAUUACUGGGCGUAAAGCGCGCGUAGGCGGAUUGAUCAGUCAGAUGUGAAAUCCCGGGGCUCAACCCCGGAACUGCCUUUGAUACUGUCAAUCUAUAGGUCGAGAGAGGUGAGUGGAAUUCCGAGUGUAGAGGUGAAAUUCGUAGAUAUUCGGAGGAACACCAGUGGCGAAGGCGGCUCAUUGGAUCGAUACUGACGCUGAGGUGCGAAAGCGUGGGGGAGCAAACAGCAUAGGAUACCCUGGGUAGUCCACGCCGUAUACGAUGGAAGCUAGCCGUCGGGCAGUAUACUGUUCGGUGGCGCAAUUAACGCAUUAACGCUUCCCGCCUGGGGAGUACGGUCGCAGAUUAAACUCAAGAUUUAGGGGGAA